rnacentral:rRNA from 1 species
UACGUAGGGGGCAAGCGUUGUCCGGAAUCAUUGGCGUAAAGAGCGUGUAGGCGGCCAGAUAAGUCCGCUGUGAAAACUCGAGGCUCAACUUCGAGCUGUCGGCGGAAACUAUCUGGCUAGAGUCCGGAAGAGGAGAGUGGAAUUCCUGGUGUAGCGGUGAAAUGCGCAGAUAUCAGGAAGAACACCGGUGGCGAAGGCGGUCU